rnacentral:rRNA from 1 species
AUGGCAUCUUCUGAAACCAGCGCCGCACCGGCAGCACGGAGCUCAGAUGUGGCUGGACAUUCAACUCCAGAUGCCACACCGGACACUAGUGCUGAAGAAGCAUCACAAGGUGCCACUGAUGGGUCUGUCAGAGUUGGCAAUAAGAGAAGAAAGCUUCCAUCAUUCAUAUGGAGCGAUUUCGAGAAACUGUUUGUCGAUGGGGAAUGGAAAGCCGAGUGCAUCUAUUGUGCCGAAAUUCUUCCUGCAGAAGCUGCAGGUGGCACGUCACACCUGGAGGACCACCUGAUGUCGUGUGCUGAUUGGCAUGCACUGGCAGCCCCACAGGAAUCAAGGUUGUCAAAGGCUUUUGACGGCGGGGAAGCCGAUUGGGAGGAUGUUCUGUUUGAUCAAGAGGUUGCCAGGAAACAUCUUGCGAUGAUGAUCUGUGCUCAUGAUUACCCUCUGUCUAUCGUCAAUCAUGCGGGUUUUCGGAAACUGUGUUACGCAUUACAACCAAUGUUUCAGAUGGUAUCAAGAAAUGACAUUAGAAAAGAUAUUUUGGGUAUGCAUGCGGCCGAGAAGGAUAAGAUGGUGAAGUAUUUUGCAGACUUUAAAGGUCGAGUCGCCAUCAGUACAGACAUGUGGACUGCAGAACAUCAGAAGAGAGGUUACAUGGUAGUCACUGCACAUUUCCUUGAUGAAUCUUGGCAACUCAAGAGUUUUAUGUUGAGGUUUGUUUAUGUGCCUUGCCCACAUAAUGCUGCAGUCAUAUGUCAAGCACUGCAUGAGUCCCUUGUUGAGUGGCAUCUCGAGAGAAAGAUAUUGACGGUGACUCUGGACAAUUGUAUACCAAGUGAUGAAGCUAUGGAACAUUUGCCAGAUAAGUUGGAUCUGAAAUCUCUUCUAUUGGAGGGUAAAUAUCUGCAUAUGCGCUGUGGUGCACAUAUGCUUAAUCUGAUUGUGAAAGAUGGCAUGGAUCUCAUGGAGAAGAGUAUAGAACGGGUUCGUGAUAGUGUUGCAUAUUGGUCAGCUACUCCUGGGAGACAUGAUAAAUUUGAAAAAAUGGCACAGACUCUGAACAUUGAAUACAAGGAAAGGUUGUUUCUUGAUUGUAAAACCAGAUGGAAUUCAACAUACAGAAUGCUAACUAUUGCAUUAGAAUACAUUGAGAUUUUUGAAACACUACUGGCGCAGUGGUGA